rnacentral:pre_miRNA from 1 species
AACAAAUCAACUUUUCAGUUUUUAGAUACAAUGUUUAACUCUUCGUCUUAUUCAAAAAAAAUUUACGAUUAAUAAUUUUAUUUUUAUUAGAUGAUAAAACAUGAAUAGUACUUUAUGUGUGACUAAUUGUUUAAAAAUUUCUUGAAAAUUUUUUAAAUAAGACGUCAAAUGCUCGACACAAAAACC